rnacentral:rRNA from 1 species
CAGGCCUAAUACAUGCAAGUGGAGGGGGGUCUUCGGACAUAGUGGCGCACGGGUGCGUAACACGUAUGCAACCUACCUUACAUUGGGGGAUAGCCUUUCGAAAGGGAGAUUAAUACCGCAUAAGACAGUAGCUGGGCAUCCAGCAGCUGUUAAAGAUUUAUCGAUGUAAGAUGGGCAUGCGUCCAAUUAGUUAGUUGGCGAGGUAACGGGGCACCAAGACUUUGAUUGGUAGGGGAACUGAGAGGUCAAUCCCCCACACUGGCACUGAGAUACGGGCCAGACUCCUACGGGAGGCAGCAGUAGGGAAUAUUGGGCAAUGGACGCAAGUCUGACCCAGCCAUGCCGCGUGCAGGAUGAAGGCGUUAUGCGUUGUAAACUGCUUUUAUACAGGAAGAAACGACUCUUGCGAGAGGCAUUGACGGUACUGUAUGAAUAAGCACCGGCUAACUCCGUGCCAGCAGCCGCGGUAAUACGGAGGGUGCAAGCGUUGUCCGGAUUUAUUGGGUUUAAAGGGUGCGCAGGUGGUUUAUUAAGUCAGUGGUGAAAGACGGUCGCUCAACGAUUGCAGUGCCAUUGAAACUGGUAGACUUGAGUAAAGUAGAGGUGGGCGGAAUUGAUAGUGUAGCGGUGAAAUGCAUAGAUAUUAUCAAGAACUCCAAUUGCGUAGGCAGCUCACUUGGCUUUUACUGACACUCAUGCACGAAAGUGUGGGUAUCAAACAGGAUUAGAUACCCUGGUAGUCCACACUGUAAACGAUGAUAACUAGGUGUCGGCCGAAUCUGGUCGGUGCCACAGCGAAAGCGUUAAGUUAUCCACCUGGGGAGUACGCCGGCA